GCCAGUGUGGUGUAGUGGUUUGUGCAGAGGACUAUGACUCUGGAGACCAAGGUUCAAAUCCCAGCUUGGCCA